GACGAACGCUGGCGGCGUGCUUAACACAUGCAAGUCGAGCGGUAAGGCCCUUUCGGGGGUACACGAGCGGCGAACGGGUGAGUAACACGUGGGUGACCUGCCCUUAGCUCUGGGAUAAGCCUGGGAAACUGGGUCUAAUACCGGAUAUGACUCCAUGACGCAUGUUGUGGGGUGGAAAGCCUUGUGCGGCUAGGGAUGGGCCCNCGGCCUAUCAGCUUGUUGGUGGGGUGAUGGCCACCAAGGCGACGACGGGUAGCCGGCCUGAGAGGGCGACCGGCCACACUGGGACUGAGACACGGCCCAGGACUCCUACGGGAGGCAGCAGUGGGGAAUCUUGCGCAAUGGGCGAAAGCCUGACGCAGCGACGCCGCGUGGGGAUGACGACCUC
rnacentral:rRNA from 1 species